rnacentral:rRNA from 1 species
AUGUCCAGCAACAGCGGCGGUGGUACAAAGGAGAAGGGUCCCCGAAUUGCUACUCCGCUUGUGCCACCUCCCUUAGUCCAGAAUUCUAUGCCUACUGCUUCAGAUGGCCCCACCACUGAUCUGAGAUUAGCACAACAGUCCUGGCCUGGACAUGUAGUCCUGCGUCCAUGCACAUCUUGGCCUCCUCAUGUGAAUCCUGCGUAUCCACAACAAAAUGGGGAAGCAGUGGCGGAUGUGGUGGCAGCCGAUGUUCUUCCUGUGAUUAAUAGCUGCAAUGAGAAGAUGUUGCCGGAAGUAAAUAUGCUAUUUGAUGACGAGAAUGAUGCUUAUGAGUUCUACAAUAUUUAUGCGGAGAAGGUGGGCUUCUUUGUUCGGAGAUCAACACUCUGGACAACAUCGAAAAACAUCAUCACUAGGAGGACAUUUGUUUGCUCAAGAGAAGGUUUUCGGGAGAAGAAGAAGGGUGCCAAGGAAUCAAAGUGCCCACGGCCUGAAACAAGAAUUGGUUGCCCAGCAAGCAUGACCAUUAGGCUUACUCCCAAUGGCAAGUACCGUUUGACAGAAUUUGUACCAAACCAUAACCAUCAGUUGGCAACAGCUUCUACGAUUCAUAUGUUGAAAGCAAAGAAAAUUAGGCGUAAAGCACGGGCUGUGAGAGAAAAUCUGGUGGAUGAUACUGUGGUAACGCCAGAGUUUGAAAAUGAAGAUGAGGCAUAUGAAUUUUACAGCAUGUAUGCAGGGAAAAUUGGAUUUAACGUGAGAAGGGCAAGCAUGACAGUAAAUGCUGAAAAUGUUAUCACUAGAAGGAUGUUUGUUUGUUCAAAAGAAGGGUUCCGUGAGAAGAAAAGAGGAGCAAAUAGAGUAAAGAAGCCUCGUCCGGAGACACGAACUGGUUGCCCAGCGUGUAUGGUCAUCAGACUUGCAUCUAACGGCAAGUAUAAUGUCACUGAGUUUGUCACCUUCCACAAUCACGGUCUUGGCGCUGCAGCAGCUUCUGAUCUUGUGAUGACAUCACUAGCGGCUGGAAGUUAUCAAGAUUGUGGAGUAGAUUUGUAUGAUGAAUCACUAGACGAUUGUUACGGCAAGCAAAAUCUUAUCAAGGAUGAUGCCACUUCAAACAGUCUAGAAGGUAGAAGUUGGAAAAGGUACAAGUGUAAAGUUCCUCACUAUGGUGAUGUAGGUGCCACUCUGGAGUACCUACAAAAGAUGCAACAUGACAACCCUUCAUUCUUCUAUGCAGUAAAAUCUGAUGAAGAUGGGUACUUGACUAAUUUUCUUUGGGCAGAUUCCAAGUCCAUCAUGGAUUUUACCCACUUUGGUGAUGUAGUAUGCCUUGAUUCAGGAUAUGCAGUGCAAGGCUAUGGUAGGCCGAUUGCUUUGUUUACAGGUCUGAAUCAUCAUAGGCAAACUGUCAUCUUUGGUACUGCAUUACUUUAUGAUGAGAGCUUUGAAGCUUUCAGAUGGCUAUUUGAUACUUUUAAGAUGGCAAUGAAUAGUACCCAUCCCAAGACAUUGUUAACUGAUAGAUCGGCUGUGAUAAGUGAAGCUGUUGCAGUAAGUUGGCCUGAGACGGCACAUCGUUUUUGUGUUUGGCAAAUUUACCAAAAUGCUCUUCAACAGUUAAGUCAAGCAUUCCAUGGGUCAAGAACUUUAGAAUACAACUUCAAGAGAUGCCUAUUUGAUUGUGAAGAUGAGGCUGAGUUUUUGAUGGCAUGGAGAGAAAUGUUGGAAAAUCAUGACCUAAAAGAUAAUCAAUGGCUAGCAGAUCUUCUUGCUGUUAAGGAGAAAUGGGCAUUACCAUAUGGUCGUGAGGCAUUUUACGCUGAUAUGAAAAGCGUCCAACAGAAGGACAACUUGAGUAGUGAGCUUAAAAUAUAUUUAUCCCUAGAAUUCGACCUUUUGAGUUUCUUUGUGCAGUUUGAAAAAUUAUUAUGUGAUCGUCGGUCUGCAGAACUGCAACUUGAUGUGAGUGCCAAUCAAAGCACAAAGAAGCCACCUCCGAUGCGAAUAUUAAGGCAAGCUGCAAAUGUGUAUACACCUGCUGCCUAUAGAAUGUUUGAAAGAGAGUUUGAAUUGUACAUGGAUUGCAUGCUAUAUAACUGUGGCGAGAUGGGCACAAUCUGUGAGUAUAGGAUAACUGGCGAGGACAAUCCAAAAGAUCAUUUUGUUAAGUAUGAUUCGCUCAAUUCCAUGUCACAUUGUAGUUGCAAGAGGUUUGAGUUUGUAGGCAUUCCAUGUCGCCAUAUGCUGAAGGUACUUGACACUAGGAAUAUCAAGGACAUUCCUCCUCAGUACAUCUUGAAAAGGUGGAGGAAAGAUGCCAGAUCAGGAUCUUCAAAUGGUGGUUACGCGUACUCUUUUGAUGGUGAUCCUCAGACAAAGCGUCACACUUUAUUGUGUCGAAUAUUCAGUAUAGCAGCGGCUAGAGCUGCAACCUCUGCCGAAUCAUUUGCGUACAUGGAAAGCCAAUCGAGCAUACUUAUGGGUCAAGUCGAACAAUUUCUUGAAAACAGCCCCCCUGACAUAGCUGCUAUUACUGGUGCUAAUUGUGACCGUACUCAAAUUCCAGUUGAAAGUAUGAUCACAGACGGUCUGCACAAUCAUGCUAACUUUAUCGAUGGCUCUGCUGAUGGUACUUGUUCAAUCAAGAUGAUUCCCCCCCUUUUUGUUUGUCGCAACAUGUAUUUAACAGUGCUAAUUGUAAUGCAGAUUCUCUAA